UUGCGCUCUCAUAAGAUAGGUCGUAUCAGCUGAUUCGGUCCACGGUUUUGCAUCGGUGACUGUUUGUGCUAUGAAACGAGGGUCAGUGAAUCAUCGACUCGAAAUCAAAAACUAACAAGCCAAAUUUUAAAAGGAAAGAAAAAAAGAAAACGAUUUUUAUUCCCAUGAAAAAGAAAAUAUACAUAAAUACAAGUAUAUAUUCCUUCAUUUAUGUGCAUGUAUAUGUGUAAAAAAUAUUUUCUUUAAAUAAACGGACAGUUAGUGCGGGUUUUUCUCAUAUCUUAACAUAAAUACCAUCCAUACAAACACAUGUGCAUUUCUCAUCAGCGAAAAUAUAUCAAUAGCAAAAAAUCGCUUGCUUGCGGCAUAAGUACAGAAUGUGAAUGUCAAACAAUUCAUCCAAAUUAACGGAUAAUGCAACCUAAAAGGAUAACGAGUAAAUCGGAUGACACACACAUAUGUGCAAGUAUAUCACAUCUAUCUUCGUCGCAAUUUUCACAAACCCUACAACAAUUUCUAUAAGCAAACAAUGAAAUCAAACGAAUGCGGCACAAACAAAUAAACUAGCUGAUUGACUGCAUCGAACUGAACAAGGCGCAGCGAUCGAUGCAUGUGGCCCCGGGUACAAAAGGGUUAAAUGCAGCUAUUGUACGUAGCGGCAAACAUCCUCUCACCACUCGGAUUAGGAGCGCAAUUGAUGUGCCAGCCGCCGGGGGUCAAUACAUUCGAUUACUGCUGAAUGGACUUGAAAAACUCGCGCAUCGUUUUUGCACAUUAGCGAAGCGCACCUUCCGAACAUGCGACCCGAUGCGCAUUGAUACAUAUGUGCACCGACAUGGCAGCUUAGCCGGUUUGUAUUGGCGAAAUAGUUCACCUUUGAAUGGAACUACACAAUAUCAUUUAUUUAUUUUCUCGUUUUCUUUAUUUUGUUUGUUGUUGAUGCGAGUACUCAUUUUUGAUCUCAACCGCAAACAUUGUCAUUACAUAUUUUGUGUAGGAUUCGUAAUUCAUAAUUCCAUAAUUAUAAAAAAAUAUCUAAAAGUAUUUGAAUGCGAUUUAUGUAUUGCAGACAAGUAAUACAAAUAGUUCACUAAACUCGUUUAAUAUUUUAAAUGAAAACUAGAGUUUUCUCCGAGGUGAGCUCCUAAAUUACUGAAUCGUGUUUAGUAAAAUUUAGCACACUCUGUCCAGUUUAAUCCAACUUAAAAGAUAUAUUUUUUCUAAUGACAAAUAUUUGUAUAUUGUAAAUAAUUUUUAAAAUUAAACCUCAAGUACAAUCCUUUGGAAUUACAUACCCGGCAAUAUGUUUUCGCUUUUCUUCGUAAUUAAUAUUGGUUAAGUAAAAAGUUCAUUCGGUUUUUUAUUGAUUUUUCAAAAGAUGAUAAAUUUAUGUACAUUUGUCCGAUUUAAGUCAAAUAUGCGCCGUUUUGUUCGUAAACUUGUUGCCAACUAGAUGCCAACUUCAUUAUACCCCUCUCGUAGAAGACUGCGUCUCUAUUGGCAAAAAACUCGGAGAGCUAAUCUUCACAGGCCUCUCUUGAGGCCAACUUCUCACCAUUAAGCGCGUUCGCUAUGGACAGGAAAAGAUGGUAAUCACUUGGUGCCAGGUCUGGACUAUAAGGUGGGUGCAUUAGGACAUCCCAUCCGAGCUCCAGGAGCUUCUGGCGCGUCACCAAAAACGUGUGUGGCCUGGCGUUGUCCUGAUGGAACACAAUUCGGCCUCUGUUGAUCAAAGAUGGCCUCUUCUGGAUGAGUGCGGCCUUCAAGCGGUCCAGUUGUUGGCAGUAGAGGGCCGAAUUGAGCGUUUGGCUAUAGGGGAGCAGCUCGCAGUAGAUGAUUCCUUGCCAAUCCCAAAAAACACACAGCAAAACCUUCCUGGCCGUCAAUCCGGUCUUGGCCACCGUCUAGGCCGCUUCCCCGAGCUUUGACCACGACCGUUUGCGCUCGAAUGUCGUAAUUGACCCGUUUUUCAUCGCCAGUCACAAUCCGCCUCAGAAACGGGUCGAUGUGUUUUCACUAUUUCCAUGAUAUUAUGGCAAUUUUCGACGACAGGCCUCCCGACGCGUGGUGCAUCUUUGACAUCGAAAUUACCGGAACGGAACCUAGCAAACCACUUUUGUGCUACACGUUCGUUUACAGUAUCGGGCCCAUAAACUAAAUUAAUUUUUUUCAGCCGCUUUCGCUGCUUUUUUGCCUUGAUCGAAGAAUAAUUUUAAAAUAUAGCGAAUUUUCUCUUUGCUGGUGUACAUCUUUGAAGAGCGCUCACAACGUACUGACUCAAUCAAUCGAAAAACUGGCAAAGACAAACUUUUAGUGCGAAUAAACACGUUUUCAGCGCCGUAUAGUAUGACAUGAUGCGACACGUAACAGUAGUACUAUGGACAAUAAAGCCAUCUCUAAUAUAAAAACCGAACGAAAAAAAACUUUUUACUUGACCUAAUAUAUUCAUUGUAGUUUAUUAUACUCGUAUAUGUUAAGUAGUAGUUAAAUGUAAAUAUAGCAUAGCCAUAGCAACGCUUGGCCGGAUAUACUAUAUGUAUAUUGUUAUAUUGAUUGUUUUUAAAAAAGAAGCCUCCGGAAAAACUUCGAGUUCAAUAUAUUUUAUUCCUUUACCCCAAUAACGUUUUCGUCUAUAUUUGUAAAUAUUAUUUUCAACUAUUAAGGACCGAAACUGGUCUACUGGUCAGACUAACCUUAAAUACAUAGGUUAUUAUAAUAAUAUUAUAUUUUAUAUAUACCUAGGGUCGUAGAGAGUAACACGGAGCACGAGGAAGUUAUAGAGUGAGGGCUCCCUGAUUCAUCACUUUAUUGCUUUACAUUUUAUUUAUUUUGAGAAAAAAUUAGUUCCAUAUUACCAUAUGUAUAUUUUUUGUUAAUGUUACAUGUACGGAGUUGGUGCGAGGAUAUACUGCCCAGAGUAAGGUAUAUAGCUGCCUUUUAAGCUGCUGGAUCACUGCAGUAUAUUUCAAAGAGAGGACUUUACUAUUAGAUUAUUAUUAUUGGUAAUACGACGAUCUGGACAAGAGCAUGGCAAGGAAAGUUAAAAUUCGAUGGAAUGACCUAUAUUCACGUGCAAAGCAGUAGAUUAAAAAUACCUAAAGUUCCUAAUCACUCUUAAUAGAAGAGACUGUAGAAACAUGAUUGGAAUACUCACUGGUCACAGUCUGGUGGUGGGACACGCCUGCAAAAUGGGGCUGAAUGGGGACUGCAGGAAAUGUCAAGAGCAAGGCACCUGGGAAACAAUGGAGCAUCUCAUGAGACACUGAAAGAGGAAUCGAUAGUGAGGCUGCAGAACCUAUUAAAAUUCGCGCGAAUAACCUAACCUACAUGUGCUUGAGUACAUAUAUGAUAAAUGAAUAAUGAUCUGGUAAGGCAUCCUGAAGAAACAUUGAUGCUGAUCUAUUUUAAUUGAUGAUGAACCCUAAAAAGUCUGUAGGAGCAUAAUUUUAAAUUAUAACAUUACAUGCAAUUAUGUUAUUGUUAAGAAACAACAUUACUUUAUAGUGACAACAAUUGUAGUGAAUUGUUAGAGAAAAAAUAUGCAAAAAAUAAUUACAGAGCACCAUGUCCGCAAGGUAUUGUCCUAACUAGCGGUUUCGUA